AUUGAACGCUGGCGGCAUGCCUUACACAUGCAAGUCGAACGGCAGCACGGGUGCUUGCACCUGGUGGCGAGUGGCGAACGGGUGAGUAAUAUAUCGGAACGUACCUUAUUGUGGGGGAUAACGCAGCGAAAGCUGUGCUAAUACCGCAUAAUCCCUAAGGGGGAAAGCGGGGGACCGUAAGGCCUCGCGCAAUUAGAGCGGCCGAUACCUGAUUAGCUAGUUGGUGAGGUAAAGGCUCACCAAGGCAACGAUCAGUAGCUGGUCUGAGAGGACGAUCAGCCACACUGGGACUGAGACACGGCCCAGACUCCUACGGGAGGCAGCAGUGGGGAAUUUUGGACAAUGAGGGCAACCCUGAUCCAGCAAUGCCGCGUGAGUGAAGAAGGCCUUCGGGUUGUAAAGCUCUUUUGUCAGGGAAGAAACAGCAGCUCUAACACAGUUUGCGAAUGACGGUACCUGAAGAAUAAGCACCGGCCAACUACGUGCCAGCCGCCGCGGUAA
rnacentral:rRNA from 1 species